rnacentral:rRNA from 1 species
UACAGAGGUCUCAAGCGUUGUUCGGAUUCAUUGGGCGUAAAGGGUGCGUAGGCGGCGCGGUAAGUCGGGUGUGAAAUUUCGGAGCUUAACUCCGAAACUGCAUUCGAUACUGCCGUGCUUGAGGACUGGAGAGGAGACUGGAAUUUACGGUGUAGCGGUGAAAUGCGCAGAUAUCGGGAGGAACACCAAUGGCGAAGGCAGCUCGCUGGGACGGUACUGACGCUGAGACGCGAAAGCGUGGGGAGCGAACAGG